rnacentral:lncRNA from 1 species
GUCAAAUGAUAGCAAGCGCAGCUGUGGUUUGCAGAAAUGGGAUUCCUCAUCUCCCGCUGGUGUGACAAGCAUGCAGGCGUUGCAGAGAGCCAUCCAGGAGCAUAGGUGAGAGGCACGCGUGCCCCUGCGACACUGAGAUGUGGCUCCUACAUUUACAUCCCAAAGACACUCUUGCAUGACCCGCAAGAAGAUACAGAAAAGGACGCUCAGACAGCAUUGCUUUCUACAAAGAGUAGCAGGCAAUGGAGAGGCCAUCGCUCAGGAUCCAAAAAGGAUACCAAGUGUCAUUCGAUGUUUUCCCAAAGAUGUCACCAUCUGGAACUUGUGUCUCCCCUGUUGUCACGCCACGAGAACCUCAGAGCUCACCAGGCCUGAGCGUCCAACCAGCCUGCCCUACCAGCCCACCGGCCUGCUCUCUGCCUACCCCACCUGCCCACUCUUCUGUUGCAAACCUCAUUCUUCCUGCUCAGAGCCCUGGGACCUGGCAGCUACUUCUCUCUCCACCAGGAAGAAGGGAGCCCCGUGUUCCUAGUGAGGGCUCUGCUGAGCAGGACAGCUCCUUGGAGGGACCUGACCUCCUCCCACCCCCAGCGGAGCCAACAGAGGACUGGGGAUUCAGCCUCAAGCUUGAGAUGCAGAAUCGUCUGCAAGCUCCGGGCUGCGAUGGGGUGAGGAUGAAUGAGGAUGCUCACUGGGACCCCAGCUCAGAGAAGAAGGGAAGGGAUGUGGCUUAGAGGACAGCCGGCAUUCUCAGCUGCUGGUGUUUGUGUCCGCCUGAGAGAAGCAAGGAUAAAUCAGAAAACCCAUCAUGAGCAAAGGCAGUGAGAAGGAGACCGGAUGUCAGGUGUGGUCAGCUGGGCAUGGAGAGGCCAGCACAGGUGUGCCCAGGGCCCAGGGCCUCAGCACGGCCCAGCUCUCCCCUACACCAGCUCCUCCUCAUUUCCCUGACCACUUACAGACCCAAGAGCCCUGGCGCUCAGUCCCUGGUCCACUCUUCUCUGUCCACACUCAACCUUGUUAGUCUCACUCAGUUUCAAGGCUUAAUGUCAUCUAUAUGUUGGAAACUCUCAAGUUGAUUGAAUUGAUCUCCUGAAUCUCAGACUGACGUAUGCAGUUUCCUACUUGUAUUUCUGCUUGGAUGUCUAAUAGACAUCUGUGGGGAUAAUCCAUCACUCCAUAACCAACUCCCCAAAACUUAGAGCCCCAAAAGAAUGAUGUAUUGUUUCUCGUGAUUCUGUUGGUCAGGAGCUCAUCUGGAUGGUUCUUCUGCUCUGUAUGAUGUUGGCUAGAGUAGCUCCCACAGCUGCAUUCUCUGGGAACUCAGCUGGAACUAGAAGCUCCUUCUCUCCUGCGUGUUAGUUGGUGCCGAUUGUCUGUCGGCCUCAGCUCUCCUCCACGUGGCUUCUCCUCCUCCCACAGUCUG